GGAGGGGCGUUUAGGCAUAAUGGGCUCCUUCUGCUGGGUCGUCCCCCUAUUGGCCAGGGUUAGACCGCACAAUCUAGUCUAAUUCUGAUUGGCUGUUUUAAACGGAGCCGUUACCGGCUGAGGCGGCCGGGUGGGUAGUUUGGCGGGAAGGACGGUUAAGGGCAGUGUGAAACGGAGCACUUGCAGAGCCUGGGACCAACCUUCUUACUGAAGGGAAGAGGGACCAGCACACGAAGCUGAGGCUGAGGGGCCGUCACCAGCACCAGGACGAAGGUGGUAGGAGGAGUCCUAGGAGCCGGUUUUACACUCCCACAUAUCCUAAUCCCAUAUAGAGAACCGCAUUACGUUUAGUUGUCACGUCUCCUUGGAAUCUUCUUGGGUAUGACACUUUUUCAGACCUACCUUGUUUUUAAAAUGUAUUCUAAAUACCUUGUAUUCUAAAAUGUCUGAAGACCUUGACAGUUUUGAAGGAUGCCAGUUGGGUAUUUUGUGGAGUGUCCCUUAACUGAAAUUUGUCUGAUAUUUUUCUCAUGAUUAGACUGAGGUUAUGUGUUUUUUAGAGGAAGGCCACGGAAGCAGACUGCCAUGCUUAUCAUAUUAAGGCCGCACACUGCCAACAAGACUUCUUACUGUUGAGUUGAUCUUGGUCCCCUGGCUCCAGGUAGCGUUUCCCAGGCUGCUCCACUGUAAAAUUACUCUUUUUUCUUUUUCUCUUUUUAAUUUUUUGUAUGAACUAAUAUGUAGAAAUAUACUCUGGAGGAAGUCACAUGCAGCAGUCACACUUAAGGAUUAAGGAGCUCAGCUCCAUCUUCAGAAGGUGGGGUGCUAUAUAAAUUAUUUGGAAUUCUUUUGCACAGGAUAAAUAGGCAUUUUCUGCUCCUUAAAAAUCUUGUAUAUUUUUUCUAGUGAAACUACCAGAAUAUAUUUGUUUGUUUCUGUGUUUGUUUUAA